rnacentral:lncRNA from 1 species
GGCCGCCCUCGCGGAGAUGAACGCAGCCCCGCUCUCCCCGCUGCGCACGGGCCGCCGCGGGCGGCCGCAGGUAUCGAGGAGCGAGCCCCGCUCUCGAGCCCAGCGGGGCCGCUUCCCCGCGGCGGUCCGAACGGAGAGGCGGCGGGGAGGAGAGCGCGGAGCCCCGAGGGCGGCGGGACGGGCCCCGCGAGGAGCGGCGGGGGGAGAAGGCGGCCAAGAGGUAACGCGGAGCUGCGGGGUAGCGCGGGGGGCGCUGCGGGACCCCGGCGGCGGCCGUCAGAGGAAGCCGUUCGGAGCGGCCCCGAAGUUCGGGCUCCGCUCCGUUCCCCGGCGCUCGGCCCGCACGUGCGCCCGGCGCGGGAUGCCGGAAACCGGGGGAGGAAGCCGCGAGCGGGCAGCGGGGCGAGGCGGCCGGCGGGCACCCCCGAGGCUCCCGCCGCGCGCGGGUCUCCGGUAGCUCCGUGCGAACUUCCCGGGGCGGGGGAGGCUCCGAGGCGCCGCGCUCCGCCCGCCCCCCGCCCGAGGGAUGGGGACGGCGGCGGCCGCGAGCGGGGGGACGGCGCGCGUCACUCCGGCGGCCGCGCGGGGAGGGGGCGCGGGGCGGCUGCGAGGGAGCCCCGGCGUGCGGCGGGACCGCCGCCUGCCUCCUCCUCCUCCUUCUCCUCCUCGGGGUGCCGGGGGCGGCCAGACACCGCGCCGAGAGCUUCUCCUCCCCCAUUGUUCCCGGUCUCUCUCUUCUUUUUUCUUUCUUUUUUUUUUUUUUUUUGCCUUUUGUUAUUGGCACUCGCAUUGUGUUGUUUGUCUCUGAAGCCGCCUCAUGACCAGCAAAGGGAUUUCACCUCGUCCUUGAGAGAGAGAGACACACACAGAGCGAGGGAAGGGGGGGAAGGAGCGCGGGGGGAAGGAGGGCAGCGCGCGGCCGAGCGCCCGUCCCCCGGUCCCAGCCGCGCCCGGAGGACAUUCGGCGGACCGCGGAACAACACUAGGAGCCUUGAGGACAUGUCUGACUAG